rnacentral:lncRNA from 1 species
CCCAGUACAGAUGAGAUGCCAACAGCAAAACAGAAGUAAAGCUACUGAAAUCGGAUUGAAUAAAUCGCAACGGAACCUGGAACAAGACUCAGCGGAACCUCGAACGACAUCGAAUCUCGACAGCGAAGAAGCCGAACUGUAGUUCGUACUUGAAAGAUUUUAGAGCUAUUUUUGAGGUAUUGUUUCGCUGCAUUUUCAGACCUUUUCGGGGUGGUUUGCGGCUGUCAGCCCCAUGUCCGG